rnacentral:rRNA from 1 species
AUUGAACGCUGGCGGCAGGCCUAACACAUGCAAGUCGAACGAGUGGCGGACGCGUGAGUAAUGUCUAGGAAACUGCCCGAUGGAGGGGGAUAACUACUGGAAACAGUAGCUAAUACCGCAUACCAUAGGAUGUGCCCAGGUGGGAUGAUCUAGUAGGUGGGGUAACGGCUAACCUAGGAGACGAUCCCUAGCUGGUCUGAGAGGAGGACCAGCCCACCUGGAACUGAGACACGGCCCAGCAUCCUACGGGGGGCAGAGGUGGGGAAGUUUGGACAAUGGGCGAAACCCUGAUGCAGCCAGGCCGCGUGUAUGAAGAAGGCCUUCGGGUUGUAAAGUACUUUCAGCAGGGAGGCGGUACUCGCAGAAGAAGCACCGGCUAACUCCGUGCCAGCAGCCGCGGUAAUUC